rnacentral:rRNA from 1 species
UACGAAGGGGGCUAGCGUUGCUCGGAAUUACUGGGCGUAAAGCGUGCGUAGACGGUAGCGUAAGUCGGGUGUGAAAGCCCCGGGCUCAACCUGGGAAUGGCAUUCGAGACUGCUCUGCUAGGGUGCGGAAGAGGGGAGCGGAAUUUCCGGUGUAGCGGUGAAAUGCGUAGAUAUCGGAAGGAACACCAGUGGCGAAAGCGGCUCCCUGGUCCAGCACCGACGUUCAGGCACGAAGGCGUGGGGAGCAAACAGG